rnacentral:rRNA from 1 species
GUGGGGAAUAUUGGACAAUGGGCGAAAGCCUGAUCCAGCCAUGCCGCGUGUGUGAAGAAGGCCUUUUGGUUGUAAAGCACUUUAAGCGAGGAGGAGGCUACCGAGAUUAAUACUCUUGGAUAGUGGACGUUACUCGCAGAAUAAGCACCGGCUAACUCUGUGCCAGCAGCCGCGGUAAUACAGAGGGUGCAAGCGUUAAUCGGAUUUACUGGGCGUAAAGCGCGCGUAGGUGGCCAAUUAAGUCAAAUGUGAAAUCCCCGAGCUUAACUUGGGAAUUGCAUUCGAUACUGGUUGGCUAGAGUAUGGGAGAGGAUGGUAGAAUUCCAGGUGUAGCGGUGAAAUGCGUAGAGAUCUGGAGGAAUACCGAUGGCGAAGGCAGCCAUCUGGCCUAAUACUGACACUGAGGUGCGAAAGCAUGGGGAGCAAACAGGAUUAGAUACCCGUGUAGUCC